AGCAGCCGCGGUAAUUCCAGCUCCAAUAGCGUAUAUUAAAGUUGUUGCAGUUAAAAAGCUCGUAGUUGAAUUUCGAGAUCAAUUUGUGGGUCGUGCCUCGGUACGUACUGGCAUUAUCGAUUUCUCCCUUCUGAAGAACCGCGAUGUCAUUAAUUUGGUGUCGUGGGGAAUCAGGACUGUUACUUUGAAAAAAUUAGAGUGUUUAAAGCAGGCUUACGCUUGAAUACAUUAGCAUGGAAUAAUGAAAUAGGACGUUUGAUUCUAUUUUGUUGGUUUCUAGGAUCGACGUAAUGAUUAAUAGGGAUAGUUGGGGGGCAUUAGUAUUCAAUUGUCAGAGGUGAAAUUCUUGGAUUUAUUGAAGACUAACUACUGCGAAAGCAUUUGCCAAGGAUGUUUUCAUUAAUCAAGAACGAAAGUUAGGGGAUCGAAGACGAUCAGAUACCGUCGUAGUCUUAACCAUAAACUAUGCCGACUAGGGAUCGGAUGAUGUUAAUUUUUUAAUGACUCAUUCGGCGCCUUA
rnacentral:rRNA from 1 species